rnacentral:rRNA from 1 species
UACGGGGGGGGCAAGCGUUGUUCGGAAUUACUGGGCGUAAAGGGCGCGUAGGCGGUGCGUAAAGUCAGGCGUGAAAGCCCCGGGCUUAACCUGGGAAUUGCGCUUGAUACUGACGUGCUAGAGAACGGGAGAGGAUGGCGGAAUUCCCAGUGUAGAGGUGAAAUUCGUAGAUAUUGGGAAGAACACCGGUGGCGAAGGCGGCAUCCUGGACCAACACUGACGCUGAGUGAGCGAAAGCCAGGGGAGCAAACGGG